rnacentral:misc_RNA from 1 species
GAAUGAUAAAGCCUUGAUGAGAAGCUGAAGGUGCUGUGGUGCUUCCAACAAUAUCUCCUCCAUUUCCUCUAAGCGGCUCGUUUAUCAUAAGCAAUCCAAGAAGCCUUUUCCAUUGCGGCUUAUUGUUGCUUUUCUCCUCCACAAACUCUUCCUCUUCCGAUUCACUGUCUUUUCUCUCUCGCUGCCUCUGCAUCAUCAUCAUCAUCUCUCUCAAGUCUCAACCAACAGUAGAUUUGCACAGUGAACAAUAAUGCAAGUUUGAGAGUAGUAUUGAGAAAGAAACUGAAGCAUUAUAGUCUUUUUGACAAUGGAUUUGAUGGGAAAGGGUGAUUUUCAUCUUUUGGUUUAUAUUCCCUUUCUUUUUUUUCUUGACAACUAAGUUUUGGAAUUUUUCUACUGUAUCAAAUUUUUUGGCUGGCAAGGAGAAUCUCUCUGUCUGCCUGUCUAUGUAACCGUGUUAUGGCAACCAUGAGAAGCUGAAAAUGCACUAAUAAGUAGACCAGCCAUGGUCGGAGCCGGCCUGAUUCCUAGAAAUAAGGACUCAGGAGGCGAGCCGAACACUCAUUUGAUUUUCGAUUUUUGGAGAAGACAUUGUUACAAACAAACAAUUCUGUCA